CCUUUCCAAAUUAAAUUUUGUUAAAACCAACAUACUCACUUUGAAACUUAUAGCACGAACUAUGAGGUUUUGAUCCCUCAUUUUUAUGUUGGUACGUAGGCACAAGACCGAAGGUCUUGUCAAACACAAAAAUAUAAUUAAUCAAUUCUUUUCUCAUCCCAUCAUUCUAUUUGUUUGUAAACAUCAUUUUGUACAAAAAUACAUAUGCACACAAAAAGGGCUCCCUAGGAGUACCUAGGACACUUUGGGUGUUAACACCUUCCCUCUGUGUAACCAACCCCCUUACCUGUGAUCUCUGAUUUUUAUUAGUUUUUACUUGAAAACUACUUACUAAUUGGGUUUUGUUCGUAUUUUUUCCUUUUCCCUUGGAAACAAUAAAAUCGCGGUGGCGACUCUUGUUAAUUGAUCUUUAGCUUGUCAAUAGCUCAAUGAUCAUGAAUUUCCCACUACACCAUCUCUCCAAUCUUUUAACAAACAACACCCUUUUCAAACCAAAAUAUACAUAUUUUCUAAGAGGAUUCCAUGGAGUACCAUGGAUGUUUAGGGUGAUAAUAUCUUCCCUUUGCAUAACUCACCCCGAACCCUUAUUCUCUUUUUAUUAGUUUUGUUUUAAAACUUCUUCGGGUUUUGUUCAUACUUUUUCCCUUUUCCUUUGGAAAUAAUAAAAGUGUGGUGGCGACUCUUGUUUUUCGAGUUAAGUUAAUCAAUAGCUUAAUCUCAAAAAAUUUACCGCUACAAUUAGAACAUUAAACAUGCACAUGGAUCAUUUUAUUUUUGAGUUAAAUUUUUUCCUAUAUAAAUAGUGUUUCUCUUUAUUUCAUUUUGUUUGAUAAGUGACUCCAAAAACAAGAAGGGGUGAAUUUUGUAGGUUAAAAAAUGAUGUCCAAUUAUAAAAAUCUUGAUUUCUAAAAACAUUUAAAUCAACUAUAUAAAUCAAACAAAUAAUAUGCAUCAUAAUAUUUAUAAAAAAAAUAUCAAAGAGAUGUAAAUGUAGGGGGAAAAAUAAAGAAUUGAAAUAUAAAGAGACAAGAGAAGAGAGAAAUGCACUACACUCUAUACAGGUUUGGUCUAACCACUUGACUCACUUUUAUCCACAAGAAUUUCUUCUUUAGAGUUUCCACUAUAUGAGAUGUGAACUUUUUGCAGGUUAUGCCAACAAAUCUUCUUACAACCAAAUAGAAUAUUUUAAACGGCCUAAUCCCCGAAGAAAAUAAGCGAUUUUGCAUCGGGAUAAUCUCAUAACCAAAUAGAGAUUUUACACCAUGUUGAGCUUAGAAAUCAAACAGAUUCUUUUACGUCUAUACUCAAUAACCAAACAGGAGCUUUUAACGGGCUGAGCUCACAGACCAAACAAAUAUUUUUUCUGGAAAAUCUCACAAACCAAUUAAGAGCUUUUAACUGGUUUUGUUCACAACCAAACAACACUUUAUUUCGAAGAUAUUACACAAGUGAAAAACCCUCUUGAGUAACUUACACACUUCCCACAACACAAUAACAAUAAAAUUCUCACCGAUACUUUUCACUCUCAAAGAACUAAGGCAAUUUUGUGAGAAAAAAGAAAGAAAUGAAAUGGAGAGGUAGAAAUUGAGAAAGUAUUCUUGAAAUAU
rnacentral:lncRNA from 1 species